rnacentral:rRNA from 1 species
ACAAGGUUUCCGUAGGUGAACCUGCGGAAGGAUCAUUGUC